CAGUCGCCGCGGUAAUACGAAGGGGGCUAGCGUUGCUCGGAAUGACUGGGCGUAAAGGGCGCGUAGGCGGAUGGCACAGUCAGAUGUGAAAUUCCCGGGCUUAACCUGGGGGCUGCAUUUGAUACGUGUUGUCUAGAGUGAGGAAGAGGGUCGUGGAAUUCCCAGUGUAGAGGUGAAAUUCGUAGAUAUUGGGAAGAACACCGGUGGCGAAGGCGGCGACCUGGUCCUUUACUGGCGCUGAGGCGCGAAAGCGUGGGGAGCAAACAGGAUUAGAUACCCGCGUAGUCCCUGUCUCUUAUAC
rnacentral:rRNA from 1 species